rnacentral:tmRNA from 1 species
CAUGGUUUUGACAGCAUGAGUGGUGUUAUGUAAGCAUGCAGGGUGUGGUGACGCGUCCCUUAAACAGAGUUACAAACCAAUAAAAGGCGAAACUAAUUACGCUCUCGCUGCUUAAGCGAAUAAAGUAACUUAAGCUUCAUCCAGGCACAUGUGUCUGGACGAGACGUCUCCCGGGCGGUCAGGCCCUGAUCCAACCCGAUAGUGAGGCGCUAUCAAUCCGGGGCUAGUCUGAGGGUUGUUCCGACCUGAUGGCGAAGCAACAGGAAAUAAGGACAGGUUAGGUUGUUCUGCAUCUGGCCGGUCACGAAAAUCAAGCAGGACUACGCAUGUAGAAAGCAUAUGACUUCCGUGUUUGGACGCGGGUUCGACUCA